CCCCCUCCCUUUCCCCAGCAGGGCCCCCUGAUGUCAGGGCUGAACUGAGAGCUCUGGGACCCUGGAACCUUGGGAGCCUCCUCCCUGGCCUCCCCCCUGGAAGCUGGCCUCCCCUGGAGUCUGGGAUGAGCCUCAGACCCUUUCCCUUGGGCUGGGGGAGCUGGGCUUGGAGACAGACUGAUGUCAGAGAGCCUGGGGAGCUUUCCCCUUCCUGAGCCCUGAAGGGCUCUUUGCUGCCCCUCCAUCCCUGCCUUUCUCAGGCAGGAUCUAGGCAGCUUCUCAGGCCCCCCUGGACUCCAUGUGCUCCCUGGAGGAGGCCGGCUCCUGGGGGGACAGUUCUGAUUCGGGGUGUCUCUCCUUCCCAGAAGCCCAGUCUGAAUCUGCCCAGAGUAAGAUGCUGAGUGGUAUUGGGGGCUUCAUGCUGGGCCUCAUCUUCUUUGGGGUUGGCCUUGUUGUCCACAUCAGGAGUCAGAAAGUUAAUGGUGGUUCACAGCCAACAGGGCUCCUGAACUGAUACCUGAGGCUGUGUCCCCUGGAACUGUGGCCUCCCCUCUCAGCCUCCCUCCCCCAUUUGGAGGCCCCCCGCUUGUGCCCAGAUGUCCAAGAGGUCAGCCCUCCUGACCCCUUCCCUGGAGGAGCUCCUGCCAUGCACCUUUGACUCUGUCCUGAAUCCUGCAUUUCAGAGACCCCCCUCCUGUCUUCCUCAUUUCCACACCAGGGUUUUAUCCAUUUUUGAUCCUUGAGCCUCCACCCCAAUAAAUGAGAAGUGUGCUAUUUAAAAUUACUGGGGGUUCUAUUUGGAAGUAUUGAGCCUCAAGAUAUGUAGUGUUUGACAAACUUCCUGUGGACAUGUGGGGGACCUUGGAACUACAUUUCCCGGGGUCCAAUGGGUUUCCUGUUUUGGAUGACCUCUUUAAGGUGAGGGAUGUCUUUAAAUAAUGGGAAGUGGCUUUGAACUUCCUCUUUGCUACCUGAGCGGGUUCCUGGCAUAUGAGACAGACAAAAUGGAGGAGUUAGGGACUGGUGGGCAUUUUGAAUAGAUUUUUUUACAGGCUCGUGGUCGAUUUCUUUCUAUCAGCAUGGCUUUAAUUAAAAUAUUAUUUUCCCUCAUAAUAUCAGCCUUCAUCAUUUUUAAAAAUAACAGAAGACUGAGAUUCAUCUGGGACGUGGUGACACAGAGAGAAAGUAGGGGGAGCAGA